rnacentral:lncRNA from 1 species
UAACAGUUCUAAGAUUUUGUUUUUGACUUUGACAGUAGUAUGUGUUUUUGCACAGAACUGACCUGUACGUUCUGUCUCUAUCUUUACCAGUGUAGUGAUAUCACAAAGGUAUCUUUUCACGGCCAGUAUUGACAUGAGAAAUGAUGACAGCAAUCAACAACCAGUGUCUUUAAUAUACGUAUGCCGUACAUAUUUUCUACAUUAAUGGACAAAGCGCUAUUCAGUAUUGCCUCUCAUUCACUAAUUCAGGCGCUGGCCUGCCGUUCUGGAGCAACUUGGAGUUCACCAACAUAGCUGGUGGAUCAAACCACCAACCCUGGGAUUACGAACUGCUCUACUUCAUGGAGAUGGAAAUGUGUCAGGUUAAAAAGGCAGAAGCGUUGGAUUCACUGCACCCCAAAACCUGCUAAUUCCACCCCCUGCAUGUGAGACAUUUGCAGACUACAUAUGGUAUGUAUGCACAGACAUGCAUGCCACAGCACGAUCCAGUCUGUCGGUAAUUACAUAUGGAGUACCUGUGUUUUCAGUCGCACGCAAUUACAGUCAAGAUACAACUAAUCUGCAUAUGUGAAUAAUUUAGCAUAAUAAGACAUCUCUGUAAUCUUUCAUCAUGCCUCAGGUGGCAUCCGUGUGUCUCGUUCUGUCUCAAAUGCGCUCUAAUAAUAUUAUGAAGCAGCUCUCAAAAAGUGGGAUCAGAGACAGCUGGGGCCUUCGACUUGGGAUGUAAAGAACCAUACGGUAAAGUCAAACCCAACGGCAUCCAUGGACUGUAUGCAUGUUUGACAGUGUAAAGUUUCUUUAUAAAACCUGCCUUUGACUUAAGUUGACCUCAACGCAGGUUGAACAUCAGGUGCAUUCAUACAUUGCCCCCCACGAGCACAGUACAGUGUGUUCGAGGCACCAAUCUAAAACUUUAUAUUACAUUAUUAUUUCAGAGAGGUGACUGAAAGGAGUUAGCACUACUUUUCUGUGACAAAUACAUAGCCUUUUCCUGUGGUUUCUUCACAAUAAAAGAUGUGUGUGUUGCAUCCCACUAUGAAGGCAUUUAUUGUUAUCGCUGAUGACAGUGGAGUUGAACGUGCCUUUAUACUAAUUAAAUGGUUUUAAAAUGUCCAGAGAAACCAGAAUGCUUUUGCUUUUAUUUUUCUUCCUCUCUACACAAAUGGAUAACGUUUCUGAUGAAUGCAUUCCGUUUCUGAAAUGACCCUGUCAUGUAUCAUCUGUAGUCACCCCAAUAAUCACUGGAAAGCAAACAGG